rnacentral:rRNA from 1 species
AUUGAACGCUGGCGGCAUGCCUUACACAUGCAAGUCGAACGCGAAAGGGGGCAACCCUGAGUAGAGUGGCGCACGGGUGAGUAAUGCAUCGGAACGUGUCCUGUAGCGGGGGGAUAACCUAGCGAAAGCUAGGCUAAUACCGCAUACGUCCUGAGGGAGAAAGUGGGGGAUCGCAAGACCUCACACUAUAGGAGCGGCCGAUGCCGGAUUAGCUAGUUGGUGGGGUAAAAGCUUACCAAGGCGACGAUCCGUAGCUGGUCUGAGAGGAUGAUCAGCCACACUGGGACUGAGACACGGCCCAGACUCCUACGGGAGGCAGCAGUGGGGAAUUUUGGACAAUGGGGGAAACCCUGAUCCAGCCAUGCCGCGUGAGUGAAGAAGGCCUUCGGGUU